AAAAAGCUUGCUGUAAUGCUUUCUGGACUAACUGAAAAAAAAAUGUAAACUAAUUGAAAAUUUUAGCCUUGUUCAAAAAGAGUAUGAAGGCCAUGAAGUAGAGUCAUCUUUAAAGGAUGCCAGCUUUGAGAAAGAGGUAACAGAAGCACAAAGUUUGGAGGCAACCUGUGGAAAGCUGAACAGGUUCAAUGUGGAACUUGAGGAUAAAAUACUCUGUCUAGAAAAACAGUUAAAAGAAGAGUAAUAUAAACAUUCUGAACAAGGUGAAUGGAUGACAGAUAUUUCAAAAAGGAUACAGUCUCUAGAAGAUGAGUCAGAAUCCCUCAAAUCACAAGUAGCUGAAGCCAAAAUGAUCUUCAAGAUAUUUCAAAUGAAGAAUGACUGAAGAUAGCAUAAAACAUGCUUUGAAUGAAAAUUCUCAACUUCAGAAAAGCCAGAAACAGCUUUUGCAAGAAGCUGAAGUGUGCAAAAAAUAAGUGAGUGAACUUAAUAAACAGAAAAUAACGUUUGAAGACUCCAAAGUACACGCAGAACAAGUUGUAAAUGAUAAAAUCACAUCAAGACUCUGACUGAACACUUGCUAAAGAUGAAAGAUUGGGCUGCUAUGCUUGGAGAAGACAUAACAGAUGAUGAUAACUUGGAGUUGGAAAUGAACAAGGAAUUGGAAAAUGGUGCUUACUUAGAUAAUCCUCCAAAAGGAGCUUUAAAGAAACUGAUUCAUGCUGCUAAGUUAAAGGCUUCUUUAAAAACCUUAGAAGGAGAAAGGAACCAAAUUAUAUUCAGUUAUCUGAAGUUGAUAAAACAAAUGAAGAGCUUAGAGAGCAUAUUAAAAAUCUUCAGACUGAACAAGCAUCUUUGCAAUCAGAAAACACACGUUUUGAAAGUGAGAAUCAGAAUCUUCAACAGAAAUUUAAAGUGAUGACUGAAUUAUAUCAAGAAAAUGAAAUGAAAUCCCACAGGAAAUUGAGAAUAGAGGAAAAUUACCAGUUAGAGAAAGAAGAGAAAUUUUCUAAAGUAGACAAAAAGAUCAGCCAUGCCACUGAAGAGCUGGAGACCUAUAGAAAGUGAGCCAAAGAUCUUGAAGAAGAAUUGGAGAGAGCUAUCCAUUCUUAUCAAGGGCAGAUUGUUUCCCAUGAGAAAAAAGCACAUUGGUAACUGGUUGGCAGCUCAGACUGCUGAAAGAAAUCUUAAUGAUUUAAGGAAAGAAAAUGCUCACAAAAGACAAAAAUUAACUGAAACAGGGUUUAAAUUUGAACUUUUAGAAAAAGAUCUUUAUGCACUUGAUGUUCCAAAUAUACCAUUGGGCAGAGAGCAUUCCCCAUAUGGUCCUUCACCAUUGGGUCAGGCUUCAUCUGAAAUGAGAGCUUUUCUCUCUCAUCCAACUCUGUUGGAGGGUCUACUCAGACUCUCACCUUUGCUUCUAGGGGGAGGAGGAAGAGGCUCAAGAGGCCCAGGGAAUCCUCUGGACCAUAAGAUUACCAAUGAAAGAGGAGAAUCAAGCUCUGAUAUGUUAAUCGAUUCUCAUAAGGCUCCUUUGGACACUGGGUCCAUGUCAUCUCCAGGGGAACAGGACCAUAGGAUGAUGUUUCCUCCACCAGGACAAUCAUAUCCUGAUUCAGCUCUUCCUCCACAAAGGCAAGCCAGAUUUUAUUCUAAUUCUGGUAGACUGUCUGGACCAAUAGAACUCAGAAGUUUUGAUAUGCCUUUGGAUAAAAUGGAUGGGUCAAUGCCUUCCAAAAUGGAAUCCAGUAGAAAUGAUACCAAAGAUGAUCUUGGUAAUUUCAAUGUACCUGAUUCAUCUCUCCCAGCUGAAAAUGGAGCAAGUGGCCCCAGCUUUGUUCCUCCACCUCUUGCUCCAUUCAGAGGUUCAUUGUUUCCAGUGGAUACAAGGGGCCCGUUCAUGAGAAGAGGACCUCCUUUCCCCCCACCUCUUCCAGGAACCAUGCUUGGAGCUUCUUGAGAUUAUUUUCCACCAAGAGAUUUCCCAGGUCCACCACAUGCUCCAUUUGCAAUGAGAAAUGUCUAUCCACCGAGGGAUUUUCCUCCUUACCUUCCCCCAAGACCUGGAUUUUUUCCUCCCACCCCUACAUCCUGAAGAUAGAAGUGAGCUCCCUUCAGGGUUGAUUCCACCUUCAAAUGAGCCUGCUACUGAUCAUUCAGAACCACAGCAAGAAACCUGACAAUAUUUUUACCCUCUUCAAAAGUAAUUUUGACUGAUCUCAUUUGCAGUUUAAGUAACUGCUGUUACUUAAGUGAUUACACUUUUGCUCAAAUUGAAGUUUAAUGGAAUUAUAAUUCUCAGGAUAGUAUUUUGUAUAAAUAAAGAUGAUUUAAAUAUGAAUCUUAUGAGUAAAUUAUUUCCAUUUUAUUUUAUUAUAGAUAGUAUAACUAUUUUAAUUUGAUUAAUCCACUAUUAUAUAAACAAUAGUGGGAGUUUUAGAUACGUUAUCUUGCAGGUGGAGAGGCUUUAAAUUCUAAAGGCUAUGCCUGUGUCUUUAUGCCAAGAACUGUAUUAACUGUGAUUGUAGACAAAUGUGAAAGUAACUUUAUGCUUAAUUAAAUAAAUUUUAGUUGAUUUAAAGACUUGUUUGGUAUUGAUAAUGAUAAAAUCAGAUAGUUUUUCUAUUAAAAAUACCUUUACUGAAUAUUUUAAAGGAUAAAGAAAUGGAGAG